rnacentral:rRNA from 1 species
GAUGAACGCUGGCGGCGUGCCUAAUACAUGCAAGUCGAGCGAACAGACGAGGAGCUUGCUCCUCUGACGUUAGCGGCGGACGGGUGAGUAACACGUGGAUAACCUACCUAUAAGACUGGGAUAACUUCGGGAAACCGGAGCUAAUACCGGAUAAUAUAUUGAACCGCAUGGUUCAAUAGUGAAAGACGGUUUUGCUGUCACUUAUAGAUGGAUCCGCGCCGCAUUAGCUAGUUGGUAAGGUAACGGCUUACCAAGGCAACGAUGCGUAGCCGACCUGAGAGGGUGAUCGGCCACACUGGAACUGAGACACGGUCCAGACCCCUAGGGGAGGCCGCAGGAGGGAAUUUUCCGCAAUGGGCGAAAGCCUGACGGAGCAACGCCGGGUGGGUAAUGAAGGUUUUGGGAUCGUAAAACUCUGUUAUUAGGGAAGAAAAAAUGUGUAAGUAACUAGGCACGUUUUGACGGUACCAAAACAAAAAGCCCCGGCUAACUACGU